rnacentral:rRNA from 1 species
CAGAGGUCCCAAGCGUUGUUCGGAUUUACUGGGCGUAAAGGGUGCGUAGGCGGUUGUUUAAGUCUGACGUGAAAUCUCCGGGCCUAACCCGGAAACUGCGUUGGAUACUAUUCAACUAGAGGAAUGGAGGGGAGACUGGAAUACUUGGUGUAGCAGUGAAAUGCGUAGAUAUCAAGUGGAACACCAGUGGCGAAGGCGAGUCUCUGGACAUUUCCUGACGCUGAGGCACGAAAGCCAGGGGAGCAAACGGGAUUAGAUACCCCGGUAGUCCUGGCCCUGAACGGUGCGCGUUUGCUGUAAGUGGAAUCGACCCCACUUGUGGCGUAGUUAACACGUUAAACGCGCCGCCUGGGAAGUACGGCCGCAAGGUUA